GGAAACUGAAGCAUAUGAGAAGCAUAGAUAUCAACUCCAACUCGAGGAGGCCAUUAGUAACAAUGGCAACAAAACUUGCGCAUUCUUAGCUUACAAGACCAGUGAUUGAGCAAAGGAGAAGAAGACGGCUUUGGGCUUGGGUUUGUCAGUCAUGGUAUACAGAAUUUCGUGGAGCAGUUCCUACUAGACUUGCGCAGCACUUGGCAUUUUCAGUUGCAAGGUUUAUACAAAAUGGUGGUUCUUUUACCAAUUACUACAU